UGGGGAAUUUUGCACAAUGGGGGAAACCCUGAUGCAGCGACGCCGCGUGAUUUAGAAGGCCUUCGGGUUGUAAAAAUCUUUUCUAUGGGAAGAAAAUGACAGUACCAUAGGAAUAAGGACCGGCUAGUUACGUGCCAGCAGCCGCGGUAAUACGUAAGGUCCGAGCGUUGUCCGGAAUCAUUGGGCGUAAAGGGUACGUAGGCGGGUAAGCAAGUUAGAAGUGAAAUCCUAUAGCUCAACUAUAGUAAGCUUUUAAAACUGCUCAUCUUGAGGUAUGGAAGGGAAAGUGGAAUUCCUAGUGUAGCGGUGAAAUGCGCAGAUAUUAGGAGGAAUACCGGUGGCGAAGGCGACUUUCUGGCCAUAACCUGACGCUGAGGUACGAAAGCGUGGGUAGCAAACAGG
rnacentral:rRNA from 1 species